GGCGGAGGAGAAAGGUGAGAGAAUUGGCGAAAAAUCGUGGCGCUAUCGCAAACCAUUUAAGCACAACUAGAAAGAUCGCCAAACCGGAAGAUAACAAAAUCAGAGGUUUAGUUAUGUAUAGAUAAAGAUAA